AUGAAAAGAAAGAUGGAAGAUAGAAAGAGGAGGCCACGAAGUUUAACUCGUGUUGGGUGUAAUGCUAAAUUGGACAUUACGAGACAGGAGGAAACCAGUCGGUGGUUUGUCAAGGAUUUCAUCGAUGAGCACAGCCAUCCUCUAGCCCCACGGGAUCUUUCUUGUCUGCUGCGUUCGCACAGACGAAUUAGCGAUGAGCAGAAAGCGGACAUUGCGGACAUGGAAAAAUGUGGGAUCUGCAAAUACCGUAUUAUGGAUAUUUUGUGA
rnacentral:rRNA from 1 species